rnacentral:lncRNA from 1 species
GGGGUUUCACUGUGUUAGCCAGGAUGGUCUCCAUCUCCUGACCUCGUGAUCCACCCGCCUCGGCCUCCCAAAGUGCUGGGAUUACAGGCGUGAGACACCGCGCCCGGCCCACAGGCAUUUUUACAAGGGACUUGCACGAUCAUGGGAAGGGGACAGCAUUUCUGCAGCUGAGUCCCAGCCCAGGCGAGAGCACCCACCUGCUGCAGCUUGGCCUGGGCCUGCAGCUCGUGCGCUGGGACGACGUCCGUGGGCCCCGGGAUGGGGAGGAUGUCCACAGGCCCCGGCAUGGAGACGACGUCCCUCUGAUGCUGCAGAAGCAGCUUCCUGUCCCGGUGCCUGAACAGCUGCGUGUGUCUCAGCGUCCCUGGUGGACGCACCCUCGGAACAACCUUGCACAGAGCCCAGGGCCGGGCCGGGCCGUUGCACACUCGCCCUGGGAGACAGCAGCUUCACUGAGACCACAAUUAUUCUCUGGUUCCAAGGAGGAAACUGAGGCUCCAAGAGACAAAGCCACUUGCUCAAGGUGACAUCCAGCAAAAGGCUGAGCCUGGUCUGGAGCCAGGGCCACAGGGCCACCCUCCACUCUGGCCACGAGGCCCCCAGAAGGCCGCAGACACUCCUUGUGUACAGGACCACGCUCCACCCUGGCCGUGAUGCCCUCUUGGGCCGUGGACACUCCUUCUAUACUUCGGGGUCCUGUAUGGCCCUGGAGGGUGGCAAGGGCUUGGGAAUUCUUUAGCUCUGUUGCUGGGGAAUGUUCAGAUUCCAGGCAAGAAGAUGACACGACUGCCUCUGUGAGCCGCCCACCCUGACCCACCAGGCCUGUGCUGGCCCCACCUGCUCCUUCUCCAAUCUGCUGAGGGCUUGCUGCUGCUUCUCAACCAGCGCGGCCAGCACAGCUCUGUCCCUCUUGCUGUCCAGGCACCUGGGGGGAGGUGGCAACAUCACUGCCAAUGUUGACAGCCCGUGCAAGUGGAUAUAGAAAGUCACAGACACAGCCAGCCCUGGUCGGCCACAUCAACCUGGAAUGCCCUCCCAAGGUGCAGGCACCAGGGAGGACGCAGCCAUGCGUGGACAGGCUUGGAAGCCUUGGGGUGGCCAGAUGGCCCAACCCGGGCUGUCACUCUUCCACCCCUCACAGCCACUUUUGGACUUUUGGGUCUAAAGAGACAAAGGCUAGCCGAGAGCCGCCCCUGCCACCCUGAAGGCCCAGCCCAGGCCAGUGGGUCCUCUGGGGAGGGAGGUGGGGGUCACCCACAUCCACCCCCCACCCAUCAUGGAAUAAACACCCUCAGUCUGGCCCGCUCAGACACCGGGUGAGGAUGUUAACUGGA